CAGCCUGUGCCAUCUCUGCUGUUUUCUUUCCUGAUGACCUCACUAGUGCAUUAGCUAAAGUGCAUGUAUCUUAACAUAAUUGUUUUUCUCUCUCUGUGGAAAUAACUGCAAAAUCGCUAUGGGUCAGGUCACAUCAACCUAGUCCAAUAAGACAGAGUCAAAACUAGUUUUGAUCAUUUUGAUUUGAAACUUCUUCUAAUUAAAUUCAAACUCAUGUACUGAAAGAGUGUAAACCCCAUGAAGGGAGAAGAAUUGUUUAGGCAUACGGUUAGCAAGGAUGGCACAAGAUUAAAGUAAGAGGAAAUGUAGUUUGAAUGUCAGAGUAAAAAUUGUCGUGGUUAGAGCUGUAAGAUUAUGAAAUAGCCUCUGAAGAGAAGGUGAAGAUUCAACACUUGGCAUUUGAAACUCCACCAGCAAAAUCACUAGAGAAUAUACCACAAGGAGCUUUUCUCUCUCUGUUUUCUGUUGUGUAUAAUUUAUUUUAAAUCUACUGUAUGUGCUUAUAAUACUGUUUCUUUCUAACUCUAGGAUUCUUUGGUUUACUUGCCACUGAUGUCUUUACUACUAUCUUUAAAACAAGACAAAGAAAAUCAAGAAUACCAUUUGUUAUUAAAUAUGAUAUAUAUUUCCAGGCAGAAAAUCAGGCUACAGUGAUUUAACUAAUGCAAGCUGUGGUUCAGAGGCUAAAUGAUUUGUCCAGGAUUGUACAACAAGCAAGUAUCGGAUCUGGUAAAGGACGGUUGGAAAAUGUAGGUUGUGAGUACUGCACUAUUUAGGUUUACCCAUAGGUGUAAGGAUGUCAUCGCUGGCAUUAAGUCCUAGAUCCUGUGCUGCGGAACAUGAUCUUAGAGGCACAAGCUGUGCAAGAGAAAUCCUGCCGUGGCAGGUCUGUGUGACACUGCUCGGGCUCUGCUAAAUGUGUUGCUAUAGUUUUUCUCGUGAGCGACUUGCAAGCUGCUGUUCUGACGUUUUGCAUGGAUUCUGGGCUCAGUCAGGUAUGCUUUCUAAUACACCCAUUUUCUUCUAGCGUAACUCACAGAUGAUUUAGGUGCUGUAGGCCUAAUCGUGUUGAAUUCAGUCCUGUAAAACUCUGAGCAUCCUUAACUGCUCCUAAGGUUAAUGAGAAAUGAAUGUGCUCAGCGUGUGACAGUCUCCCUCAGUGCCUUCCAGGAGCUGGGAGUUUAACUGUGCACUACUGUAGGGUGGUUGCAAUGCUAGUCGUGCACCGCAUUUGAGUAAAGAACAUCUAUUCUGCUGCUUAUUAGGCCAUGUAGACAAAGGCAGAAUUUAACCUUGUGAAUUUGUUAAAUGUGAAGACAUGGCAAUAAGUUACCCGGCAAAUUUCUGCUGUUAAAGUUCUGAUAAAAGUCACAUUCUAGUACCUGGUAAAGAAAUACCAAGCUGGUCAAAUCUUAGGUAACUUAAAUUUUAAAAAAAGUGAUUUUUGACCUCUACUGUUAUAUUCUGGUUUGAUUUAGGGUUUUUCCCCCCCCUUUCCUUUCUUCUUUUUUGUCUGAAGUAAGGUUUAAUAGUUGUACAGAAUUAAUUGUUAAUACUACUUCUUUGCUCAGAGAAAAUGUAGCGAUGUUUGCACAGUAGAUAGCAUCAACUGUCAGUCAAAAAGAAAACCUUUUUAUUGUCAUAAUUGAUAGCAAAUUAGUUGCAACCUUUACAGUUACAUGAUUUUCCACUCUGUUUCUGCCGUAUGCCUGUUGACAAAGGAUUUCAGAAGUAUAAAACAAUUACAGUUUGUUUUCUUUUGUUUAUGCAGAAAUGCGAAAUGCUGUGGCAUAAAGAAUACACAGUGGAUUUUACAAGAUAUUAAUAAUCCCUUCUCAUUAAGAGAUCUAGUUACGAAUUCUUUUCAUGAUCAUAUUUCUACCCUUUUAUGAUUUAUCAGUAACUACUCAAUUCUUGACUUUGGCACAUUCCUCUACAGUUGUAGGAUAGUCUUAUAUUUCAGAACUGUUCUUUAUUCUUCUACUAGCUGGAGUCCACAAUCUUUUCUGGUUUCUUCCCUUUGAAAUGGAAGUUUGAUAUAAUUAAUUCCUGAGCACACCCUUCCAAUGCCAAAUAUGAGAUGCAUGUCUUUGGAGUGUAUAUGGCAAAGGUCCAAAAUGAAGGACAGGAGGAGCAAACUAUUGCCCUAAAGAUGCAAAAUUAAUUUCUUCACUCUAUAAGUUUUCUAUAACUUCAGUUUCAAAAAGUAACAUUUUCAUGAACUAUUUACAUUAAGCAGUGUAAAGUCAGUGCAAAAGCUAAGUUGAGAUGGACCAUAUGUUAAAAAAUCAUAAUAAAACAGGAGGGAUUUUAAGUGCCCAGAGGAGUACCUCCUCUCUCUCUAAGGCAACCAUAUGGCCUCAUGUAUCUUGACUUUAUGGUGCAGGAAUAUUCUCAUAGAUAAUUUCUUUUCUAAUGGUACAAUGCUUUGCAGGGCUGUGGAACGACUGACAAUAAGAAUAACAUUCACUCAGAACUGGUACAAAGCAGACUAUGCCGUUCAAACUUUUGCAAUGUUUUCAUAAAUUCAUUCUGUACUACAUUUGCAGCAGUUUCACUGACCAUGACACUAUAACCGAAGUCUUGCUAAGCAGUCUUAAAAAAAUUAAAGCUUAUUUCUUCUCUGCAUCUGGCUUUCCAUGACCAUUAUCAAACUGUCAUUUUUCAAACUGAAGUCUGUUUUGUUGCCAUAGAUGGUACAGGGCAGCUAUUUCUGCUGUGUUCUUGUUUGGCUGAGUCCAACCUGUUGGAAUUCAAGAGUCAGGCAAACUUAGCAUGCUGUAUGCGGAGAGGAAGGCUGCAUAAGAAAGCUACAAGGCUAAGUGUGACAUUAGUGGACCUUUCUGAUUUAGAAAUAAAGAGGAUGAAUAAAAAUGGUCUCCUAGUCCCUUCUCUUAGGCCUAUGUCUUGAAAAUUGUGGUUUAGUUGUCUUCUAGAAUUUAUUUGACAGCUCUCCUCUGUUUAUUUUGUAUUGGGAUUGACACGAGCACAAGACUGCAAACCCUACCCAAUCCUGAAUUUGUGCUCUUAUAUAUUUGCCUUGGUAUUUAAGAACGUUAGGGUUCACUCUUCACACUCAGCUCCGCAAGGUGUACAGAAAUGUAUUUUUUAAAUGAAAGGGUGGAUUUUCUCUUAGUCAAAUGAUUCUGAGAAUUGGCUCUUCUAGAAAAACACUGUUACAAUACAAUCAGAAUUGUAUUGCAAUGAAGCCACUGCAACCACAUUGCCUUAAGGAAAUUUAUCUUCAGUAUUUCAUCAUCGAAACCUCCGAGAUUUCUCUCAUCCAACUAAAACCUACAUUCCCAGGUGUGUAGCAGCACACAGACUUCUCUAGAAUUUGCUUUCUAAUUGAUUGUAUUAAUAUAUACCAGUGUAGUUUCUGUUUGCUCUUUUAACCAGAUAAGAUUUUCUCCACAACAUAAAGAACCUUGUUCAGGUGCUGCCGUACUAGUGGAACUGUUGUGUCUACAAAACCGACAGCGCUAGUGAGAAACUACAGCCAAUAUCAACAGAGGUAACUUUUCUUCCUUGCUGACAGCCGUCUCGAAGACCACCAUUGGCAGCAACUGAGCCAACCGUGGCGCGCACAGCUCAGCAAUGCAUUUGUUGCCUCUCUCAAGAAAGCAGCUCCUCUGAAAACGGGUCUGCAAACAUACCUCACAGAAAGCCAGCAUUGCCAAAAGAGCUCUGAAAUUUCCUAAAUGGAAGGACUAACGUCUUCCCUUUAGCUAGCUUUGUAUACACACUUUGAAGAGCUGUCUUCGGAUUUUAAAAUACUAUCCAGUAUUGCUUGUGCUACCUAUCAGGGCAAGUGCCUCCAGAGCUAAGAAACCAGAGCUGCAGCAUGACCUGUAAUAACCUACGAUGCAGCUCUUUGUUUUCUUCCUUAUCGCUAAUGUGAGUAAUGUUAGUUGAUGGGUGCUGCUGCAUGAGGAGGGAAUGGUGUCAAAGCCUGAGACUUUGCUAUGCGCUGGGAGUUAUGCACAAGCAAGCACAGAGUUUUGCAACAGAUAGGAACUGUUUAUGAUUUGACGGCUUGUGAUUCAUAUGUGAAAUGGGCCAGCAAGAAAAAUUGUAGCACUUCUGCAAACUUAAAUUGGAAAAGUUCCUGAAUGUUGAUUAAAUUCUGAAAAGUGUUAAAGAGUAUCUUGAGAAUGUUUUUACUCUUCUGUAUUAUUAAUAAUAAAAAUUAAUAAUUAUGUUUACUACACA